CCUUCCACAGGUCCCAGUGCCACCAAUCUCAUUAUCGGCUCCAUCGCCGGGGCUAUCCUGGUGGCGGCCAUAGUGCUCGGUGGGACCGGAUGGGGCUUUAAGAAUGUGAAGAAGAGGCGGUACGACCCCAACGCCUCGGCCAUCUAAGCCCCGCCUCCUGCUCCUGCUCCUCCUCCUCUUCCUCCUCCUCUGCCCGCCCCCCCGACAGGAGGUGGUGGCGCUAGUAGGGAGGGACCCUCCUCUCCCUCCCCCUGCUCCUCUUCAUCCUCAACGAGGCUUCCCAUUGGCUGGCUCGGGGCCAGCCGGACUGACCUUCGGCGUAAGAUUUACUUGAAGUAAAAAUAAAACACGCAAGAGGAUAAAAGAUAUAGCGGACAUUUUAACAAAUUCCACGGUAGUGGCGUAGAACUGCAGCCGCCCCCCCCCCCCCUCUCUCCCCUCCCUCACCCCUCCUGAACCAAGUUCGACUAACGCUCCCCCAAAACAGAGUGAACAGAACUCCUCCUCCUCCUCCUCCUCCUCCUCCCUAGUGCCGGUGCACUGGCAUUCAGGCUGACUCCUCUUCCUCCUCCUCUUCCUCCUCCGACACCACCGCCACUCCUCCUCUCUCACCUGGCAUGACCCCCCUCCGCGCGCGCACACACUCACACACACACACACACACACACACACACACACACACACACACACACACACACACACACACACACACAGACACACACACACACAGACACACACACACAUACACAUCUCUGCUCCUCCUGCAUUACCCUUUGGCAUGAGGGCGAGACUCUGCAUGGCUACACGACGCAAGUGAUUUACCGCAAACAAACCGACAAAAAAAAACAAUUUAAAUAUAUAUAUAUAUGAUUAUAUAUCAAGGAGGAGAGGGGAAAAUAAUAUGAAUCACGCGCCCGAGAGGAGAUUGGCUUUUCAUUAGUAAGUAAGCCCAUCCAAAGUUCUAGAUACUUCACUUAUAUAGGCGCCGUAGGUAAGGAGGCUAGGAGGCUAGGAGGCAGGAGAUAGGGAGGGAACUCACACACUUAUAAAAGGACACACACACAUGUACUCCCGCGUUGCCAGUCCGUAGAGGUGACAACGUGUCACCAGGCUGACCUGAAGUGUUGCUUUCAGCUCAGCGCUGCGGCUGGCGUGGACAAACAGAGAGGAUUUGGAGCACACCUAAAACGCUGGAACAGAGGAAGUGUGACAUCUUACAUGAUGAGGGUCAAGGGUCACAGCAGGUAGGAUCCACAGAGAACAGCGAGGGUGGGGGGGGGGGAGAUAUCCGAUAUAAAGAGCCAUGGGCACUGACUACACAAGACAGAGGUCAGGGGUCAGAUUAUCAACCAAUCCCCUUCUCUUCCUCACCAACAUGUCCUUCCGAUGGUAAGUCAAAAGCCAAAGAACCAAUCACAGGAACGUAUGGAUGUUGACGCACGAAGAGCACUUUCCCCCCCGUCGCCCUGUCCUCUCUCUCUCUCUCUCUCUCUCUCUCUCUCUCUCUCUCUCUCUCUCUCUCUCUCACUCUCUCUCUCUCUCUCUCUCUCUCUCUCUCUCUCUCUCUCUCUCUCUCUCUCUCUCCUCUCUCUCUCUCUCUCUCUCUCUCUCUCUCUCUCUCUCUCUCUCUCUCUCUCUCUCUCUCUCUCUCUCUCUGCUGUUUCCCUCCCCGACGCCUCCUACCCUCUCCUGGACCUGGCCAAUGGGGGCAGACCUCAUCUCCAACCACCCUGUACACUGGCUUGGCCUCCUUGGGCCCUCAUUAGAUUCCUCAUAGGGUUGAAGUUCCGCUCCGAUGGAGGCGCCGCUGCAUGCAUUCACAAUAGCGGGCUUAAUGAUACUAUAUGGGAGUGUCCCGGAUUCUGAAUAAUACGCUUCAAAAGAUCGGUGCAUGUCCACAAGGAAACAUUUAACUUUUAUUUACUAUGCAAAGAAAGAUAUUGCACAAACGAAUGGGUUAACGAUAUCGGUAUACACGUGGAAAUACAAAAACCCUCUGCUAAUUAGCUACACUUUUGUAUUCAGCCAUUUCAUCAUCUUUUUUUUAGCUUUAACGUACUGAAAAACCGAAUAGGAAAUACGAAUAAUAAUAAUAACGAUAAAAAAAAAAUGGAUCCACAUAUGAUUUAAAAUCAACAGAGCAUUCUUUUACAUUUCUUGGAUCGGAAAAUCAUGUCUGUGUGUUUCUCAUCGAAUGUGAAUCCAUUUUGAACCCGACACACUGGUCCGGUCCUGAGCCUGAGCAGCCCACAGGGGAGGUCUUUGGGUCGCGGCCCUGCUGGUGGAGUGGGCGUGUUCCGGGAGCUGACACAGCACUGCAUUGUGUAAAAUCUUCCAUCUAUUUACUCACCAACAUCAUCAUCAACAUCGUCAUCAUAACAAUGUCCGUGUCACUGCAUCAUGUACAGUUGAACCAAUGAAUAAACCAUGUAUUUUAA